AGUGAACGCUGGCGGUAGGCCUAACACAUGCAAGUCGAACGGCAGCACAGUAAGAGCUUGCUCUUACGGGUGGCGAGUGGCGGACGGGUGAGGAAUACAUCGGAAUCUACUUUUUCGUGGGGGAUAACGUAGGGAAACUUACGCUAAUACCUCAUACGACCUACGGGUGAAAGCAGGGGAUCUUCGGACCUUGCGCGAUUGAAUGAGCCGAUGUCGGAUUAGCUAGUUGGCGGGGUAAAGGCCCACCAAGGCGACGAUCCGUAGCUGGUCUGAGAGGAUGAUCAGCCACACUGGAACUGAGACACGGUCCAGACUCAUACGGGAGGCAGCAGUGGGGAAUAUUGGACAAUGGGCGCAAGCCUGAUCCAGCCAUACCGCGUGGGUGAAGAAGGCCUUCGGGUUGUAAAGCCCUUUUGUUGGGAAAGAAAAGCAGCAGGUUAAUACCCCGCUGUUCUGACGGUACCAAAAGAAUAAGCACCGGCUAACUUCGUG
rnacentral:rRNA from 1 species